rnacentral:tRNA from 1 species
GCCGCGUGCAUGAAAAGUGCCUGAUGAGUGGACUUCUACGUAUUGUCGCGGACCCCCUCGCCCUCACUCGCAAUGAGAAGGUCAAGGGUUCGAUUCCCUUGGGCGGCUCCA